rnacentral:tRNA from 1 species
GGGCCAGUAGCUCAGCGGUAGAGCAGGGGACUCUUAAUCCCUUGGCCGAGAGUUCGAAUCUCUCCUGGCUCACUA